ensembl:lncRNA
ACUCCACAUGUGUACCUGGUGACCCCUUGUGCAUCAGGUGGAUUUUAACAUAUCACUGCAGCUGAAACUCUGGAAGUGCACUGCACAUGACGGCACCAAACCAACCUCACCUUCCUGUAAUGCUGGAGUGUAAGACUCAAAAACUAACACUGUGAUACUGCAAAUGUUACCAUGUAAAAAGUUUUCAAACUAGACUGUUGAAAAUAAUACUAGUGCGAUACUUUGUAGAUUUUCUACAAAUGAAGUAACACACAGUACCUCAAUAUAAGCCUUCUUACCCAGUUACACACAAAUACACUCAUGCUGACCACCAUGACGUACCGCAUGCCAAACUUCACUCUGGAGCAGAAGCUUUUCCUGCUUCGGAGAAUCCAUGCGGUGGUGGACACAGUGCAGGACUUUCGGAAAGACACCAACACUACUGUGCACCGGAACGCUGUAUGGGCAGAGCUGGCCCAGGCCUUCAAUGCGGCGUUCCCUAGUCGACCCCCCAGCAGCAUCGGCUCUCUGAAGACGCUGUGGAAACGGCUGAAGGUGGAAUGUCGUGUUGCGCUGCAGAAGCGACAGGAACAGCAGGCAGCUGGGCUUCCUGUGUCUGCCCUCACGCAGGUGCAGAGAGAAGUGAUUGCCCUGGUACCGAACCUCAUCUCCUGUCUGGAGGAGGUAGAUGGAGAUGGCAGCUAUGCCUCGGUUAGGGGUAGCUCACCUGGAGCAGUGAUGGGGCUUUCAGGCACUAAUGGGAGUGAGCAUGAAGAUGCUGACCACAGUCAAAAUGAUGAAGUAGACAGCAAGGAGAACUUAGCCAUUGAACUUGGAUUGGUUUCACCGACUCACCCACCUGUUAACUCUGGGAUUCCUCCUGGCACUGCCUCCUCUCCUCUCCACUCACAUUCAGUCUCUUCCAGGUCCAGCCGUCCCUCUCUCAUCUACCCAACCCAUGCAGGAAGCACCUCAGGGCUGGGAUCAGGGACUAGGGGUUCAAACUUCGAUACCCCACACAGAGAGCCUGUGGUGCCACGUGCUCCUGCCGGAGGAGCAGUUGAGAAUUCAUUACCGCCAAUGGACUCUUAUACCUCAAACUCGAAAUGGGAGGCACGUCGACAGGAACUGUUUGAGCUGGAGCAUCAGCAGACGAUGAGUCUGUUACUGCUGCAGCAGUGUGUGUGGGAGGAGAAGAGGAAAGCAGUGAGACAAAAGGAGAAGGCGGCGCGGGCCAAGAAGAGAUAUUAUCAAGCCAAACUACGGAAGAUCACCACAGAUCCUUCACCUUCCAGUAGUGACAGCGAGGAUAACGAAUAUCUACAGACUUGAACUCAGAUGUUUAUGGCAUCUUAGCUAUGUUUGCUUUCUUUUUUUGAAAGUCAUUUUUUAUUCUAGCAAUGCUGUUUAUUUACAAAACAGUAUAUUUUUUAUUGUGGACUAAACUUAAUUGGUGUUUAGGAAUGUACCAUGUGUAUCAUAUGGAGGGGGGAAUUUACUUGUGCAGGCUUUGUUCCAGUAGCCAAUACAAAUCUGAUUUCCUUUCAUAAUCUCUCUCAUCAACACUGAUGCUGCAUUCCAUUCAGUCAAAAGUGGGAUAGUUAAAGGGAUAAUUCACCUGAAAAUUGAAAUUCAUAAUUUACUCAACGUCAUAUUGCUCCAAACUGUGUGACUUACUUUCUUCUGUGCAACACAAAGUUUUUUUUUUUUUUUAAUGCCUCCAUACAAUAGAAGUAAAUGGGUCAUGUGUUGAAAACAGUUGAAAUAUUUCUCAAAAUGUCUUCUAUGUUCUGCUGAAGGAAGUAAGUCAUACAUGUUUGGAGAGACAUGAGGAGAAGUAAACGACAACAGCAUUUUCUAUUUUUUUGGAUGAACUAUCCCUUUAAAGGUGCUCCAUAGUCCGACAGACUUAGAUUAUGACAUGAAUCAAAUCAUAAUGCUAAUGUUAGCAUUGCAAUUGUCAACAAAGAAGCCUUUUAGCAUCCAAUUUUGCUAGCAUUUGUUUUACAAGAGUAAAAUUGUCAACAUAAAAGCUCAUUUACCAUUUUUUACAAGCCUGUGAGGUUUUAUUAUAAUUUAAAUGUAAUACUUUGACCUGUUAAUUAAUUUAAUUGGCUUAUAAGAGUGAAUGUUUAUCAUGCACUGUGUCUCUCUGGGUCUCGUGUUUAAGUGAUAUCAUAUAACAAAAACAACUGAAAAUCUUAUGUUUGGGAAGUUUUCCAAAAGCGAGACUGGAAAUUGGAGUGCAAUAGUCAAACAUGUCCAUCUAGUGCAUGUUAAAAAUGGAAAAACAGCACAGUGGAAUGCAAAAAUGCGUUUUUUGUGAAAAUCUCAAAACCCUCGCACAUUCAGGCCAGAACUGAGCAGUGAGGAGAUGUUUAGUCCUGAUACUUGUGUUAGAUGAGAAGAAGAAAUGAACUGAAAUGAGAUUUCUAAUGUUACUGUAUUUUAAUUUAAUGCUUGUGGAUCAAACCAAGGAUUGAAGUUCUCCAAGGCCCCUGUUUGAUGCUAUAUGCAUUACAUUACAAACAUUAAAAAUUACUGUGGUAAGAAAGUACACUGCAAAUAUGAGGUAAGAAAACAUACAGAAGAUACAACAUUACAACAUCCAUGUGUGGAAAUAUUUCAGGGGUUAUUGCCAGUCCAUAAUCUAUCCUUGGAUACAACUCAUCUGACUGUUUUAGGACAGCGUCUUUAGGAGCAACCUUUAGAUUUAGUUCACUGUAGCUCAUUUAUACUAUGCAGGUUUUUUCAGGUAAAUAAGUGCUUCUCUUAAAGUGACGAGUGCUUGAAGUUAGUUCAGUGUUGUUGAUUUACUUGUCUUAGUAUACAGUGUUUGGGAACAGAGCACUUUGUUCUUUUGCAAAAUAUGAAAAUCUUAAAGGAAUAAAAUGGAUAUUCUGUCAUCA